GCGUGUAUAGCUCAGUGGUAGAGCGCGUGCUUGGCAUGCACAAGGUCCCGGGUAUAAACCCCAGGACCUCCA
rnacentral:tRNA from 1 species